AAGUAAUUUCGAUGUUUUUUUUUUGAAAAAUCUCUGUAAUUCUUUCGGGUUUUUGAUUCCUUAGGAUUUUAGUUCAGAGUUUCAGAUUUCAUUUGAGCCGCACUGCAAUCGUUGAACUUGUUUGACUUUUUCCACAUGGGCUGCAAUAUAGAAAAUAAGACCAAAAAUUUGGUGUGCUUUUUAAACCCCAUUUUUACUAGGCUAGAGUUGGCGCAGGUGAUGAACGAAUCAUAUUCAGCAGUGAAAUCGCAUCUCAAUCCAAAGAAACCUUUCCGAACCUUCAAUUAAUUCGAUUUCUUCCAGAAGGAACAAACAUAACAGACUACGUAAAAUCUGUUGCUUCGGAAAUGCAUGGAAGCGUUCAACCGUAUGUGUUAUGCGUAAGGGGAAAGAAAAAAAGAUUCCUAUUUUAUUCAAGGAGACGGACAAUUUAUGCAACUAGAUGCAGACUCAAGUUUCAUUGUUGCGUUUGAUAUUCUUUUCAAGUUACAUUUUGUAACUAACGUAAAGUUUGCUGAUUUAUUGUACUUUUUUUACAACAUCCUUGAGUAUUUUGUAUACAAAACACAAUCAUCCGUUAAAGAUUCUGUUUCAUCUUUCCACACUACUUUGACCAAUUUUAAACCGUUUGAAAAUGAAAAU